GAUGAACGCUGGCGGCGUGCCUAAUACAUGCAAGUCGAACGAAACUUCUUUAUCACCGAGUGCUUGCACUCACCGAUAAAGAGUUGAGUGGCGAACGGGUGAGUAACACGUGGGCAACCUGCCCAAAAGAGGGGGAUAACACUUGGAAACAGGUGCUAAUACCGCAUAACCAUAGUUACCGCAUGGUAACUAUGUAAAAGGUGGCUAUACUACCGCUUUUGGAUGGGCCCGCGGCGCAUUAGCUAGUUGGUAGGGUAAAGGCUUACCAAGGCAAUGAUGCGUAGCCGAAUUGAGAGGUUGAUCGGCCACAUUGGGACUGAGACACGGCCCAAACUCCUACGGGAGGCAGCAGUAGGGAAUCUUCCACAAUGGGCGAAAGCCUGAUGGAGCAACGCCGCGUGGGUGAAGAAGGUCUUCGGAUCGUAAAACCCUGUUGUUAGAGAAGAAAGUGAGUGAGAGUAACUGUUCACGUUUCGACGGUAUCUAACCGGAAAGCCACGGCUAACUACGUG
rnacentral:rRNA from 1 species